UGCCGCUGAUCUUCAUGUCGCGUGUUGAUGAUCGUGGAAAGGCAGGGGUGCGAUGGUCAUUUUAGUCUGUAGGGUUUCGAACGGGUUGGGUGGGUUAGAGACUUUCAUUUCCUUUCUUUCUGAGCUGCAGUGGGACUCGGUGAGAGCAUGCCGUCGGGAGAGAGACCGAGCGAGCAGAGAGAGAAGAGAGACACGGAGGGAGAGAGAUAGGGAUUUGGUGAGAGGAAGGCAUGCGGCUUGCAGGCAGACAGAGUCACAGGGGUGUACGAUUCGAGGGAGACAGCGCGAAAGAGAGAGUGGGAGAGGGAGGAGUAAGGAUCGCUCGCUGAGGGUUUCGCAAUUGGGAGGCCAUGCUGAUGGAGAUAGAGAUGGGAGAGGGAGAGGGAGAGAGGGAGACAGAGACAGAGCGACACGGAGAGAAGGAAAGGGAGGAGUGGGCAUCUCAGCGCCAUUGCUGCAGAUCUUUGAUCUUCUUCGAUCCCAUCUCCGUGUUCUUCUCAGCCUCUCACAGUCGCAGCAUCACUCGCCCACUCACUCACUCACUCACUCACUCACUCACUACAGAGGCUGCUCAGAAGGAAUUGAGGAGGAGAGGGAAGGUUUUGGCGUCGAAAAAGUCAUCUCGGAUGGCUGCUGAAGGCUUGCUGGCUCUGGCUCAGAAUGAAAACAGGGCUGCUAUUAUUGAACUUAACUGUGAGACUGACUUUGUUGCUCGAAAUGAUAUCUUUCAAUACUUGUGGUGCUUUUUAGGGUUAAGCUAUUUGAUUUCACAGAUUCAUUACAGACACAGUAAAUAGGUAUAUCACUAUGGAAGAACUAGAGCAAGUCCUCCACGAAUACGGCUUGCAUGGUGAAUUUUAAUCUUUCCAGGUACAACCAUAUCUCACUCCCUCUGACUCUAAGGGACACCAUCCAUCAAGAGUAUCGUGAUGUUGUUGAGAGGCAAGUUUUUACAGUGAUGGGCACAAGAGCUGAUGAAGAGACAAUUGAAAGAUUAAUCGAGACAAGAGACACUGAACAAAUUUUCCAGAAGGCAAUCCAAGAACAAGGGGGAGGCCAGAUAAUGGACGCUCUGGCCGAAAUUCAAGAGCCACAUGAUGCUGUUAGAGAUCUUGAGAGGAAGCUGCUCGAUUUACAACAGGUUGUUUUUUUAUUUCUAUAGGGGAGUUGCAGGUGUCCAUGUCAGAUUCAUAAGGAAAAAGAACCAUUUUUGUGGAUAUAUUGAAACAUUGCAGUGGUUAAAGAAGAGUACAAGAAAAGUUCUGUUUAUUUCUUCAGAAAAGAUUAAGAAAGGUGAGUUGGACAUAGAAGAUGGAAUUUCAACUUUGAGUUUUAACUCUUCACUGUUUAUUUUUUUAUUCAGUCUUUGGCAAGCCAUCAUACAUAAUAACAUAACUUAGCAUUUACCAAACAAUUAAACAUGUAACAUAACUUAACAUUUACAUUUACAUUUUUCAUUUACAGUUGGUAGCCACAAAUCAACCCACUAUCAACUUGAUAUCAACAUUGGAGUGUGCCUUAAAAGUUUAAGUCAUGUUUUUUAUUCUAUUUUAUAAAAUGAAUGAAGUUCUGAAGUUUUUGUCUUAUGAAACUUAGGUAAUAUAUAUCAUUUCUUAAACAUAAUACAUGCAAAUACAAAAAAUUGUAAGCUGUAUCGAUGAAACAUUUUUUAUGUAAAAUUUUUGUAACAUUUUAGGUUUAAGAAAUAUUGAUGCCUAAAAUCCUGUCAUCAGUUUUUUCCAUCAAAAUUUUUCAAUCGGUUCAGUUCUUUUCAAAUAUGUAUAAUUUCUUUGUGCAACGUCUCUUUUAGUUUCUUGGUCAAGCAUUUGAAAUCAUUACCAACUAUUUAGUAAAAGUAGUUUUAUAGAAAAUGCUUGAGCUUCUUGCAAUAACUUUUGUUUGCAAACGUUUUCCAACUUAUUUGUUAUCAAUAUUGUUCCUAUUUUUAAAAACCUUUUUUCAAGUCUGCUUGAAUCAGGACUUAUCGAAUCAAGGCAGCUGCAAGGAAAUUUGAGCUUUGGCAUGUAUAGAUACGAUUUUGCAACGAAGCUAGGUACCUUCUAGACUUAUUGGAUGUGAAGAUUUGUAUGAUCGAAUUUGUGAUUAAAAUACUUGGAUUUUAUUAAAUUUUUCAUGAUUUUAUAGAGUUUUUCGUUUAAAUUUGUGGGUUUUAGUUUAAAUUUAUGCUCCAACCCAUUUCAACAAUUUAUCAAGCUUUAGUUGAAGCUCUUUGGAAGCAUAUCCAUUAUAUUGCCAACCUUGAAAAGCCUUGGUAAAUAAUGUCAGUUGUUGCUUCUCCAACUCUUUUCCCUAAUUUAGUUUCUUAAGCUUCAUUUCUUUUUUCCUAUAUGUAGUUUUGAUUGUGUUGGGAGUUAGUAGCUUUGGUUUCGACAUUGUUUUGUUUGUGAUAGAUCUCAAUAUAUUGCAAAUAUUUUGCAAGUUGAGGUACUAAAGAUUUUGCAUUAACUUAUUUUUUUCAUUUGCCCGUGUUCUAAUCCAAAAUGUUUAAAGUUGGUUGAAUAUUACAAACUGGUAUAGGUUUGGUUAUAAUAAAAGAAGUAAUAUAAAUUAUUACUAUGACACAGUAACAUUGCGAGAGGUCUUUUAUUAAUCUCUCUAUCUAUGACAGUACCAAAUAUAUCAUAGAUGAGACUAAUAUUUAAAACCAUGUUUAUUAUGGUCUUUGUAUCCGCCAGCAGGGGUAGUUUACCUUGGGGGUUGCAACGAAUGUGGAGAUUCGUUAGACCAAUGAUCAAUUGAUAGAAAUUAUCAUUAAGCCAAGCAAAAAUGACUAUUAAAUCUUAACAUUGGGAGAAAACUAGGAGUCUUUUUUUUUUUUUUUUUUUUUAAUCUGCCAAUACUAGGAGUCUCAAAACCAAGUAGUGUUAUAUUUGAAUAAAUUUUUAUUUGAUCGACUGAAAGUAAAAAUCAUAUUUUUUUGGCAAGUACACACGAACUUACACUCCUAAAUACUCAUAGCACAAAUGAAUGAUGGACUCAGAUAAACACCCACAAAUACAUAUACUAUGCACAGAUACUAUAAUGGUUUCUUCUCAGAAUGCUUAUCAAGACCUUCAGUAAUGACCCUUCUGAAAUGAUGGAUAUAUUGUCGAUAUUAUUGAUCAAUUGAGUAUGCAUGAGAACUUUAAGUAAUCAUUGCCAUAAAAAGUUGAAGUGAUGACUCACACUAGGAAUCAGUUAUCUCAUUAGUAGCUUUAUUUUUAUCUAAGAUCGAAUUUGAUACCUGUAGGUGUACAUAGGUUAAAUCGAUUGUUAAGAUGACAAUUUAAUCACUUUUCAACGUCCGAUAUCUCCAUCUCCCUGUUUUGGAUUUUUACUUACUUGAAAUGAAUAGAUUCUAGGCGUUUCAUUUAGCAAAAUGAGCAGUGGAUAGUGCUAACUCAUUUUUCUAACAUUCACACCAAUAUGAGCACUUUUCUUGGCAAUAUAGUGCUUAGCGUAAAAUUAGAAUGUGAUUCAGUUGUAUUGAAUUUGUUCAAUUAACCACUAGUCUAUUUAUAGUUCAUUUAAUCUUUUGAAUUAGUAAGCUACUGUGUUGUGUCCUUUACAUUUCUUGGUAUGCUAUUGAUAUGGAAAACAUCAUCUAUCUGUUCUAUUUAUUGCAUGACAUAAGAAUCAAAGUAGACUUGGCAUCCCUUUUGUGGUCUUUUUUGUGUUAGCAAAUGCCAUCAAAUAGGCAAAAUCAUAUCGGCUACAAAGUGCAAUGAAUGCUACAGGUUACUAUGUUUCGCCAUAUGCCUUCAUUGUGGCAUUGCCCUCUCUGCGACAAGUAAGCAUUAUAAUUUCACUUUGUGGAAUGAUAUUAAGUUGACUUAUGGAAUAAUACAAGGUUGUGUCAUGCAUGAAAACUAUGAAUCCAUUUCAUCAUGCAUUUUUUACUUCAACUACUAUGUUUUUGUUCAAUUGACUGCAACUCAUGCUGCGGUUUGCUUCACAAACCUCUACAGUUAGCUUCCAUACAGUAUGUUGCAAGUUUGAGGAUAUUUCUACAUCUUAAUUUCUGCUCUCUGUGCUUACUUCAAGUUUGUAAUUUUGCGUGUUACACUGCCACUUGAUUUGAUUAUAAAAAUGUAAAACAAAAUCUGUCAAUGAUUUACAAAUUUGUAUUCGAUUUUUGAUGUUUUUCCAGUGUAAGGCAUAUGUUGCACAAACAUGUAAAUGGUACAAAUUAUUUGGUUUUGGACAGUAAGCUUUGAGUUUUACAAGAAAAAUCAAGAAAAUGUGUCACUUAUCUAUCCCUCUAUUCUUUCAGGAUUAUGUUUAAUUUAUUCAGGUUAAAUGUGUCUUAUUCAUGCACUUCAGGCUGGUGCAUUCAAGGUCCCGUAGCAAAGCGUGGGCAUAUUUUCUAGUUCUAUUGCUAUUUCAAGCAAGCCAUCAACAGAGAAUUCCUUUUGAAUUCCAGUGAAUAACCUAAAAUUCCUUUGGAUUCCACUCGUUAAAUCGUCAGCACCACCUUUUCUUUAGUACCUGCCAAACAGUCGAAAAGUUGUAUGUGCAAUGUUAUUUGGGUCGAUCAGAACCCAUCUUCGUUGGUGCAUGUUCUGAACAACAAUGAUUUACCUUCUCCUCAUUAAGUUUUUUUGUAUCGGCAGGGGGCGAUGCUUUUGCAUUGUUGCAGCGUCCUCUUUGAUGUAAAACCCCCUGUUUUAGUUUAUUGCUUGUUUAACUU